rnacentral:rRNA from 1 species
AGUGAGUGGCGAACGGGUGAGUAACACGUGGAUAACCUACCUCAAGGUUGGGGAUAACAUUUGGAAACAGAUGCUAAUACCGAAUAAAACUUCGUAUCGCAUGAUACAAGGUUAAAAGGCGCUACGGCGUCACCUAGAGAUGGACCCGCGGUGCAUUAGUUAGUUGGUGAGGUAAAGGCUCACCAAGACCGUGAUGCAUAGCCGACCUGAGAGGGUAAUCGGCCACACUGGGACUGAGACACGGCCCAGACUCCUACGGGAGGCAGCAGUAGGGAAUCUUCCACAAUGGACGAAAGUCUGAUGGAGCAACGCCGCGUGAGUGAAGAAGGUUUUCGGAUCGUAAAACUCUGUUGUUGGAGAAGAAUGUAUCUGAUAGUAACUGAUCAGGUAGUGACGGUAUCCAACCAGAAAGCCACGGCUAACUACGUGCCAGCAGCCGCGGUAAUACGUAGGUGGCAAGCGUUGUCCGGAUUUAUUGGGCGUAAAGCGAGCGCAGGCGGUUUCUUAAGUCUGAUGUGAAAGCCUUCGGCUCAACCGAAGAAGUGCAUCGGAAACUGGGAAACUUGAGUGCAGAAGAGGACAGUGGAACUCCAUGUGUAGCGGUGAAAUGCGUAGAUAUAUGGAAGAACACCAGUGGCGAAGGCGGCUGUCUGGUCUGUAACUGACGCUGAGGCUCGAAAGCAUGGGUAGCAAACAGGAUUAGAUACCCUGGUAGUCCAUGCCGUAAACGAUGAGUGCUAGGUGUUGGAGGGUUUACGCCCUUCAGACCACAGCAAAACCAUUAAGCACUCCGCCUGGGGAGUACGCCCGCAAGGUUGAAACUCAAAGGAAUUGACGGGGGCCCGCACAAGCGGAGGAGCAUGUGGUUUAAUUCGAAGCAACGGGAAGAACCUUACCAGGUCUUGACAUCCUUUGACCACUCUAGAGAUAGAGCUUUCCCUUCGGGGACAAAGUGACAGGUGGUGCAUGGUUGUCGUCAGCUCGUGUCGUGAGAUGUUGGGUUAAGUCCCGCAACGAGCGCAACCCUUAUUACUAGUUGCCAGCAUUUAGUUGGGCACUCUAGUGAGACUGCCGGUGACAAACCGGAGGAAGGUGGGGACGACGUCAAAUCAUCAUGCCCCUUAUGACCUGGGCUACACACGUGCUACAAUGGAUGGUACAACGAGUUGCGAGACCGCGAGGUUUAGCUAAUCUCUUAAAACCAUUCUCAGUUCGGAUUGUAGGCUGCAACUCGCCUACAUGAAGCCGGAAUCGCUAGUAAUCGCGGAUCAGCAUGCCGCGGUGAAUAAAAUCCCGGGCCUUGCACACUCCGCCCGUCA